UACGAAGGGGGCUAGCGUUGUUCGGAAUUACUGGGCGUAAAGCGCACGUAGGCGGACAUUUAAGUUGGAGGUGAAAGCCUUGGGCUCAACCUUGGAACUGCCUUUGAUACUGGGGAUCUCGAGUCCGGAAGAGGUUGGUGGAACUGCGAGUGUAGAGGUGAAAUUCGUAGAUAUUCGCAAGAACACCAGUGGCGAAGGCGGCCAACUGGUCCGGUACUGACGCUGAGGUGCGAAAGCGUGGGGAGCAAACAGG
rnacentral:rRNA from 1 species